rnacentral:rRNA from 1 species
AGAGUUUGAUCAUGGCUCAGAUUGAACGCUGGCGGCAGGCCUAACACAUGCAAGUCGAGCGGUAGCACAGAGAGCUUGCUCUCGGGUGACGAGCGGCGGACGGGUGAGUAAUGUCUGGGAAACUGCCUGAUGGAGGGGGAUAACUACUGGAAACGGUAGCUAAUACCGCAUAAUGUCGCAAGACCAAAGUGGGGGACCUUCGGGCCUCAUGCCAUCAGAUGUGCCCAGAUGGGAUUAGCUAGUAGGUGGGGUAACGGCUCACCUAGGCGACGAUCCCUAGCUGGUCUGAGAGGAUGACCAGCCACACUGGAACUGAGACACGGUCCAGACUCCUACGGGAGGCAGCAGUGGGGAAUAUUGCACAAUGGGCGCAAGCCUGAUGCAGCCAUGCCGCGUGUGUGAAGAAGGCCUUCGGGUUGUAAAGCACUUUCAGCGGGGAGGAAGGCGUUAAGGUUAAUAACCUUGGCGAUUGACGUUACCCGCAGAAGAAGCACCGGCUAACUCCGUGCCAGCAGCCGCGGUAAUACGGAGGGUGCAAGCGUUAAUCGGAAUUACUGGGCGUAAAGCGCACGCAGGCGGUCUGUCAAGUCGGAUGUGAAAUCCCCGGGCUCAACCUGGGAACUGCAUUCGAAACUGGCAGGCUAGAGUCUUGUAGAGGGGGGUAGAAUUCCAGGUGUAGCGGUGAAAUGCGUAGAGAUCUGGAGGAAUACCGGUGGCGAAGGCGGCCCCCUGGACAAAGACUGACGCUCAGGUGCGAAAGCGUGGGGAGCAAACAGGAUUAGAUCCCCUGGUAGUCCACGCCGUAAACGAUGUCGAUUUGGAGGUUGUGCCCUUGAGGCGUGGCUUCCGGAGCUAACGCGUUAAAUCGACCGCCUGGGGAGUACGGCCGCAAGGUUAAAACUCAAAUGAAUUGACGGGGGCCCGCACAAGCGGUGGAGCAUGUGGUUUAAUUCGAUGCAACGCGAAGAACCUUACCUGGUCUUGACAUCCACAGAACUUAGCAGAGAUGCUUUGGUGCCUUCGGGAACUGUGAGACAGGUGCUGCAUGGCUGUCGUCAGCUCGUGUUGUGAAAUGUUGGGUUAAGUCCCGCAACGAGCGCAACCCUUAUCCUUUGUUGCCAGCGGUCCGGCCGGGAACUCAAAGGAGACUGCCAGUGAUAAACUGGAGGAAGGUGGGGAUGACGUCAAGUCAUCAUGGCCCUUACGACCAGGGCUACACACGUGCUACAAUGGCAUAUACAAAGAGAAGCGACCUCGCG